CUACUGUAUAUACUGAGCCAGAGAACUGCAACGAGUAAUAAAUGUUUGUGUAUACUAAGUACUGAUACGUUACUCUGUCUAAUUCUGUCACUUCGGUUCAUGUACACGAAGCGUACCGUUUCAAAUCGCGAUAGAGAACAAAUUUAAAUCUCUAGCGAUAAGCUUCCCAGCAAGUCAUGGGUACUGAAACUCCAACACAUUCAAAGACAUUUUAAUAACACCACUACAUACACACAUACGCAACAAAGGGUAAAAUGGGCAUAAACAUUUAACUCAACUCUUCUCUCAUACAGCACCCUGAAUGAUAGAAAGAAACUACCAAAGUUCUCGUGUUUGAACAAAUUUUGUUUUGAGCUAUAUAAUGGCUGCUUGUGAAGUAUUAUUUUGCGUGUUUUAUUUAAUUCAGUGAUCUGAAGCCUAAUUAAAGUUUAAAUUAUUGAAGCACGCAUUUUUAAAUAAGUAAAACGUAAAAUAAAAGUUUUCUAAAACCAAAAUAUGGAAUUGAAGAGGGUGAUACAGUAAGACUUCAUUGCACUGUCAAUUCGAAGCACGCAAUAGAAGCUACGCCAACAAUGGUUAACAUCAAGGGAAACCAUUGAAUACGUACGCAAGCUUAUUGGUGUCACUUAUUGUAGCAGCGUAGAACUUUCGAAGCGAUGGAAUAUGGAUGCAAACGCUGCUACAUGGAACACAAAUCAUUUACACAACAGAUAUUAAGUUUAAUGUCACUUUUUUACGUGCAAUUUGGUCAACACAAGCACGAGAACUGGAACGACAUGGUUUAGGUGCCUUUGAAACCGUUUAUUAUCACGACGUGUGUCAACUGGGUUUUGCCAAUGAGCUAGAGGGCAAAGCAGUUUCAGUAUUUUUGGCAUUACCGGCACUUGGCCGUGCCAUUAGCAGCUAAAACACAGAAAUUAAAGGAGGACUUUUUUGAUUCAUUUUCACCUUGUAUUGAGGAAUCAUAACCUUCUUGUAUCGCUUUACAAGGAAAUGAUUUCACCGAAAUUAGUUCAAUGGGAACUCCUGCUGUAGUAGGAGCAUGGAUGUUAAGACUAGAACGUUGCCC